rnacentral:rRNA from 1 species
GCCUACGGGGGUCAGCAGUAGGGAAUUUUCGUCAAUGGGCGCAAGCCUGAACGAGCAAUGCCGCGUGAACGAGGAAGGUCUUCGGAUCGUAAAGUUCUGUUGAAGGGGAAAAAGAGCGGAGAGAGGAAAUGGUCUCCGAUUGAUAUUACCCUUCGAGGAAGUCACGGCUAACUACGUGCCAGCAGCCGCGGUAAUACGUAGGUGGCGAGCGUUAUCCGGAAUGAUUGGGCGUAAAGGGUGCGUAGGCGGCCUGCUAAGUCUGGAGUGAAAGGUACCGGCUCAACCGGUACAGGCUCUGGAAACUG